GAUGAACGCUGGCGGCGUGCUUAACACAUGCAAGUCGAACGGGAAACCUUUUAUUGAAGCUUCGGCAGAUUUAGCUGGUUUCUAGUGGCGGACGGGUGAGUAACGCGUGGGUAACCUGCCUUAUACAGGGGGAUAACAGUCAGAAAUGGCUGCUAAUACCGCAUAAGAGCACAGAGCUGCAUGGCACAGUGUGAAAAACUCCGGUUGUAUAAGAUGGACCCGCGUUGGAUUAGCUGGAUGGUGGGGUAACGGCCCACAAAGGCGACGAUCCAUAGCCGGCCUGAGAGGGUGAACGGCCACAUUGGGACUGAGACACGGCCCAGACUCCUACGGGAGGCAGCAGUGGGGAAUAUUGCACAAUGGGGGAAACCCUGAUGCAGCGACGCCGCGUGAAGGAAGAAGUAUCUCGGUAUGUAAUCUUCUAUCAGCAGGGAAGAUAAUGACGGUACCUGACUAAGAAGCCCCGGCUAACUACGUG
rnacentral:rRNA from 1 species